rnacentral:lncRNA from 10 species
AUGAGCCACUGCGCCUGGGCCAUUUUGCAAUUAUUAAUCCAAUUUUACUGCUAUUUACUGAGCACCUGUUAGCCACUAAUGUUAUGCUGCCUGCUAGCAUGACCCUCGGGCCCGGUAUGAAUGGGACUGAGGGGUUUUCCAGCACACAGGACUUUCAGUGUUCAAAUGGCCAUCCCAGGCUGGGCAUGGUGGCUCAUGCUUGUAAUUUAUAGACGAUCUAUAAAUUAAAUCAGUUAAUCAGUCUGGCAGUCCCAGGCAAAUCGGGUUGGUUGUUCACUGUGAUCAGCUGAACAAUAGCAUACUACCACCACCACUACAAAGAUGUCCACGUCCUUAUCCCUGGAACCUAUGAUUGGCGAGUUCGAGCCCAGCCUGGCCAACAUGGUGAAACCCUGUCUCUACUAAAAAUACAAAAAUUAGCUGGGGGUGGUGGCACACACCUGUAGUCCCAGCUAGUAGGGAGGCUGAGGCAUAAGAAUCACUUGCCAUUUACCGGAAAUAUAGAAGCUUCGUUUUCUUCACCUGUUUGAGGAGUGGGGUAUAAAUCUGUGAUACCAUUCGGCUUGUUAUUAGUAUUGUAAUCAAGCAACUGUGAGCGUUUGUAAAUAUCUUUCACCUCUUUUCUAUGGGUUCUGCCACAUUGGAUGCCUUCAGCAAAACAUCCAUCCACUCACGUGUCUCUCCAUUGAGUCUCCCAUCAUCUGGAGCACUAACUAUGUGCUGGGCACAGGGGAAAUGGAGAUAGGAUUAAGCCAGUGCCUGGCUCCAAGGGAGUCCGGGUGAUGAAGACAGUGACAUCACAAUGUGCUCAGUGCUUCGGGAUCUCAGAUGGGCCCCUGACCCAACCUGGGAGCAGUCAGGGAAGUCUUCCAAGAAAAGUGAGGUUCAAGGAAAGUGGUAGCAGGAACGUUGCUCCUGGAAGAAGACACAGCAAGCGUGAAGGCUGGGAAUUUUUUCCAGAGAA